rnacentral:rRNA from 1 species
UGGGGAAUCUUGGACAAUGGGGGCAACCCUGAUCCAGCGACGCCGUGUGGGUGGUAAGGCCUUCGGGUUGUAAAGCCCUUUCACCGGGGAAGAUGAUGACAUUACCCGGAGAAGAAGCGCCGGCUAACUCCGUGCCAGCAGCCGCGGUAAUACGGAGGAGGCAAGCGUUAUCCGGAAUCAUUGGGCGUAAAGCGUUCGCAGGCGGCGAUUCAAGUCUGCUGUCAAAGCCCGCAGCUCAACUGCGGACAGGCAGUGGAAACUGAAUGGCUAGAGUGCGGCAGGGGUAGAGGGAAUUCCCGGUGUAGCGGUGAAAUGCGUAGAUAUCGGGAAGAACACCAGUGGCGAAAGCGCUCUACUGGGCCGCAACUGACGCUCAGGGACGAAAGCUAGGGGAGCGGAAGGGAUUAGAUACCCCCGUAGUCC